rnacentral:rRNA from 1 species
AUGUCAGUUUCAGAUACAAACCUUCAUAAUGGAGAAAAGCCUAUCUCCGAAAUUACCGAUGCGGAACUCGCCGAAAAGCAUGGUCAUAUGAAGUUAGUAUGCUCACAGACAAGGUUCGGAAAAACCAUGAAACUGUUGUCACGAGACUACAAAAAGUACAUCAUAUCAGAAACCAGUCUUGGCGGUCUAUGCCAGAUGCAUGAAGUGACUCUACGGUGCAUAAUGUUGGUUAGACUAGCCAAGAGCAUAGAUAUGGACACGCAAUCCAUUACCAUCGGUAAAACGCCAAUUCCUAUAACAAAAGAUGACGUGCAGUGUAUAUUUGGCAUUCCGAUAGAAGGGGAGGAUAUAGAGCCACAUCUGGAAAUGCAAACCGACACAGAAUUGUUUACCGCCUAUGCAAACAAUGCGCAAAUUUUGAUUUCUGACCUUGAAACGGCGAUCCGAGCUUCCAAAGCCCCAGACGGUGAUUUCCUGAGACGGUUCAUUCUGUAUGCAAUUGGUACUGUUCUAGCACCAACAGCACAACAUUAUGUGGACCCGAAAUUUCUCAACCUUGUUACAGAUCUUGAAAACCUUCGGAAAUUUAACAGGGGAUGUUUCACACUUAAUAACUUCUUCAAGUCCGUUAACAAGUUUAGAAAUCGAGAUCACGUAAAUCUACAAGGAAAUCUAAUUCUGCUCCAGUAUUGGUACUGGGAGCACGUGCGUAGUGGCCGGUUGAUGUAUGCUUCUAGACCCCUUCCAUUGAUCUCACGAUGGGACGAAAUGAUGGCUACUUUAAGAAGCGAUGCUUACGAGAAAGGAGGUCUUCAUAACGGGCUGAUUGACAUGGUAGUUGAAGCCAUGAAUGCACGCAUUGCUGAUCAUGAAAACAAGGUAGGCAGGAAGUUAAUGGAAACUGAGCACAAAUUUGAUGUCAAAUACCAGACGCUGGGUGAAGACUUGAUUGACAUGAAGACUAAAACUGGCACUAAUCCUAGGUUGUCGAAGACCGAGGACGAAAUUAAAGACUUAAGGAGGGAACUCCAUGAAUUAAAAUACGAAUUUACAAGCAACCGACAAUCAGUGUCACAGAAAGGAGGCGUGCAGGUGAUCAAUAUGGCCCAACAUGUUAAUAUCUAA